GACGAACGCUGGCGGCGUGCUUAACACAUGCAAGUCGAACGGGAAGGCCUUGCUUUAGUGGGGGGUCGAAUUGGUGAACGGGUAAUUACCACGGGGUUAGCCUCCCCUGGAUUUUGGGCCAACUUCAGGAAACUGGGACUAAUACCGGAUAGCUGCUCCUGCUUAAGGGUGGGGGUCGGAAUGUUUCGGCGGUUGGGGAUGGGCUGGCGGCUUAUCGGCUUGUUGGGGGGGUAGUGGUUUACCAGGGCUUUGACGGGUAGCGGGCCUGAGCGGGUGACGGGCCACAUUGGGACUGAGAUGCGGCCCAGACUCCUACGGGAGGCAGCAGUGGGGAAUAUUGCACAAUGGGCGGAAGCCUGAUGCAGCAACGCCGCGUGCGGGAUGACGGCAUUCGGGUUGUAAACCGCUUUCGCCUGUGACGAAGCGUGAGUGACGGUAAUGGGUAAAGAAGCACCGGCUAACUACGUG
rnacentral:rRNA from 1 species